rnacentral:rRNA from 1 species
AUUGAACGCUGGCGGCAGGCCUAACACAUGCAAGUCGAACGAGUGGCGGACGGGUGAGUAAUGUCUGGGAAACUGCCUGAUGGAGGGGGAUAACUACUGGAGACGGUAGCUAAUACCGCAUACCAUCAGAUGUGCCCAGAUGGGAUUAGCUUGUAGGUGGGGUAACGGCUCACCUAGGCGACGAUCCCUAGCUGGUCUGAGUGGAUGACCAGCCACACGGGAACUGAGACACGGUCCAGACUCCUACGUGAGGCAGCAGUGUGGAAUAUUGCACAAUGGGCGCAAGCCUGAUGCAGCCAUGCCGCGUGUAUGAAGAAGGCCUUCGGGUUGUAAAGCCCUUUUGGUGGGGAAGCGUUACCCAAAGAAUAAGCACCGGCUAACUGCGUGCCAGCAGCCGCGGUAAUAC